rnacentral:rRNA from 1 species
CCUACGGGAUGCAGCAGUGGGGAAUAUUGCACAAUGGGCGCAAGCCUGAUGCAGCCAUGCCGCGUGUGUGAAGAAGGCCUUCGGGUUGUAAAGCACUUUCAGCGGGGAGGAAGGCGGUGAGGUUAAUAACCUCGUAGAUUGACGUUACCCGCAGAAGAAGAACCGGCUAACUCCGUGCCAGCAGCCGCGGUAAUACGGAGGGUGCAAGCGUUAAUCGGAAUUACUGGGCGUAAAGCGCACGCAGGCGUUCUGUCAAGUCGGAUGUGAAAUCCCCGGGCUCAACCUGGGAACUGCAUUCGAAACUGGCAGGCUAGAGUCUUGUAGAGGGGGGUAGAAUUCCAGGUGUAGCGGUGAAAUGCGUAGAGAUCUGGAGGAAUACCGGUGGCGAAGGCGGCCCCCUGGACAAAGACUGACGCUCAGGUGCGAAAGCGUGGGGAGCAAACAGGAUUAGAUACCCGGGUAGUC